CCUACGGGAGGCAGCAGUGAGGAAUAUUGGUCAAUGGACGAUAGUCUGAACCAGCCAAGUAGCGUGAAGGAUGACUGCCCUAUGGGUUGUAAACUUCUUUUAUAAAGGAAUAAAAUGAGGCAUGUGUGCCUCUUUGCAUGUACUUUAUGAAUAAGGAUCGGCUAACUCCGUGCCAGCAGCCGCGGUAAUACGGAGGAUCCGAGCGUUAUCCGGAUUUAUUGGGUUUAAAGGGAGCGUAGAUGGGUUGUUAAGUCAGUUGUGAAAGUUUGCGGCUCAACCGUAAAAUUGCAAUUGAUACUGGCAGUCUUGAGUACAGUAGAGGUAGGCGGAAUUCGUGGUGUAGCGGUGAAAUGCUUAGAUAUCACGAAGAACCCCGAUUGCGAAGGCAGCUUACUAAACUGUAACUGACAUUGAUGCUCGAAAGUGUGGGUAUCAAACAGGAUUAGAUACCCGAGUAGUC
rnacentral:rRNA from 1 species